rnacentral:rRNA from 1 species
UGGGGAAUAUUGCACAAUGGGCGCAAGCCUGAUGCAGCCAUGCUGCGUGUAUGAAGAAGGCCUUCGGGUUGUAAAGUACUUUCAGCGGGGAGGAAGGUGUUGAGGUUAAUAACCUCAGCAAUUGACGUUACCCGCAGAAGAAGCACCGGCUAACUCCGUGCCAGCAGCCGCGGUAAUACGGAGGGUGCAAGCGUUAAUCGGAAUUACUGGGCGUAAAGCGCACGCAGGCGGUCUGUCAAGUCGGAUGUGAAAUCCCCGGGCUCAACCUGGGAACUGCAUUCGAAACUGGCAGGCUAGAGUCUUGUAGAGGGGGGUAGAAUUCCAGGUGUAGCGGUGAAAUGCGUAGAGAUCUGGAGGAAUACCGGUGGCGAAGGCGGCCCCCUGGACAAAGACUGACGCUCAGGUGCGAAAGCGUGGGGAGCAAACA